rnacentral:rRNA from 1 species
AUUGAACGCUGGCGGCAGGCCUAACACAUGCAAGUCGAGCGGAUGAAGGGAGCUUGCUCCUGGAUUCAGCGGCGGACGGGUGAGUAAUGCCUAGGAAUCUGCCUGGUAGUGGGGGAUAACGUCCGGAAACGGGCGCUAAUACCGCAUACGUCCUGAGGGAGAAAGUGGGGGAUCUUCGGACCUCACGCUAUCAGAUGAGCCUAGGUCGGAUUAGCUAGUUGGUGGGGUAAAGGCCUACCAAGGCGACGAUCCGUAACUGGUCUGAGAGGAUGAUCAGUCAAACGGGAACGGGAACAGGGUCCAACACCCCAGGGGAGGCAGGAGGGGGGAAUUUUGGACAAGGGGGGAAAGCCGAACCCAGCAAGGCCGGGUGGGUGAAGAAGGUUUUGGGAUUGAAAAGCACUUUAAGUUGGGAGGAAGGGCAGUAAUUUAAAACCUUGGUGUUUUGACUUUACCAACAAAAUAAGCACCGGCUAACUUCGU